rnacentral:lncRNA from 13 species
AAUAUAUUUUUCUUAAAAAGUAUGUUUAUACUUUGAGAAGGUUCUGAAAAGGUUAUUUGACUCCAAAUAUUUGUGGGAAAGAUACCACAAGUGUGGUAUCUUAAAUUAUAAUUAUAAUCAAAUCAUAAAAGGUCUGGAUUCUUUUGGGGAAGAUAGCAAGAGAUUUGUUACUAUUAUAGAAAAGGACUCCAGCCAUUGCUGGCAUAAAGGAGCCCUGGAGAUAUAAGUCAAUGGCUUCAUGGCUAUGCAUGGGGUAUAACAUACCUAUCAGAUACAAAAUAAAAAUGUACUCAAUCUCUGUUGAUUGAUAAAGCUGGCCUUAGUAGGUAUUCUAUUGUCCCUUGAUAAUAGUCAAUAGCUGCCAGAUCCCAAAAUAGUCACAAAUGAUCCUUGAUUCCUUGUUUUCACACCAUUUUGAGCUCUGUUUCCACCUUGAAUCAGGGAUGACUGAUGUAACAAAUAGAAUACAGUACCAGUAAUGAUGUGUGGCUGCCAAGGUUAUGUCAUGAAAGGCAUUAUGGCCUCUGCCUUGGCCUUUGGGAUGGCUCAUCGGAGAAGCUAACCACUGUGUCGAGAGGUUAAGAGCCAUGAUGUGUGGACAGACCCAUGUGAAGAGGAACUGAGAUCUACCAUCAAUUUGUCAGUCAUGUGAGUCAGCCACAUUGGAAUUGGAUCUCCAUCCCCAGUCAAACCUUCUGAUGACUGCAAUCCUGGAUAACAAAUGAUUGCAAUCCUGGAUAACAAAUGACUGCAAUCUCAUGAGAUACUGUGUCAAUGUCUUCAGUGAAAAAAGCAGUUAGUUCUGCUUACAGUCUCAACAAUUGCCAAAGUGCUUUCUCUCAAGACAGCCAUCAUGCUUGGUUUGCAAUGGAAAUAUUUCACAGAAUGCACUGACUGAGUCCUGGAAAAGGAAUUGCAGAUUUACCUAAGAAGACUAAGAAUAGCAAUAUUCUUAUCCGAGUUCUUCUACUUACCGGCCAUGCCUCCAUAGGCAAGUAUUUUACCUGUCUAUACCUUAGUUUCCUCUUCUGUAAAAUGUAGAUAAUUAUAAUCUGUCCCUCAUCUCAUUGUUCCAAGGAUGAAAUACAUUAUAGAAAUACAAUUAACUACACUGUAUUGUUAUAAGCAGCUGAUCUUCAUUUAUUUAUUCAACAGAUAUUUGAGUUAGAUUCAUAUAAACAGCACACUCCUAAGCCUGAGGAUAGUGACAAUGAAGACAAAAUUCCUACUCUUAAGAGCUUCCAUACUCUGUUGGAAAUCUCUAAAACAAAGUGAAAUAUAUUGGAGAAGGGGGACAUUCUUGGAGACCUCAUUUUAGAUAUGAGUGAAUAUAUAUUCUGGGUAGCACUGCUGUAAAUGGUUAGUGGUGAAAGGCUUGGUGUCAGGCAAAUACUUUUAGGCAACUAAAGAGAAUUUGUGUAGUGUCUUUAAUAAGUAGGUAGAAUGUGGGAGUAUUAAUUUAUAUUUGCAAAGUACUUUAGCCUUCAAAUUGCAAUCAUAGCCUUUUGAUAUUUAAGGCAGCAUGAGACGGUGAGAAAUGAACAUGCCUCUGAAUCAGAACAAGAGGCUACAAUCUCAUCUCUAAUAGCAACUGUCGGGUUCCUUAACUGCAUAGUAGGGUUAAUCACAUAAAAAAAAUUAGUAACACCCCCCCCACACACUAUUUCACAGAGUCGCUGUGUAGAUGAGAUGAUACACUAUGAACAGGAGAGCAUGCAUUUCUUCAGCAAAUAUUUAGCCAAGCAUAUAAGGUAUGCUGGGCUUUGCUGCACUGCUUGAGGCCCUGUCCUUAUGCAUUUACAU